rnacentral:rRNA from 1 species
AUUGAACGCUGGCGGCAUGCCUAACACAUGCAAGUCGAGCGGAUGAAGGGAGCUUGCUCCUGGAUUCCGCUGCGGACGGGCGAGUAAUGCCUAGGAAUCUGCCUUGCCUUUGGGGAUAACGUCCGUAAACGGGCGCUAAUACCACAUACGUCCAGAUGGUGAAAGUGGGGGAUCUUCGGACCUCACGCUAUCAGCUGAGCCUAGGUCGGAUUAGCUAGUUGGUAGGGUAAGGGCCUACCAAGGCGACGAUCCGUAGCUGGUCUGAGAGGGUGAUCAGUCACACUGGAACUGAGACACGGUCCAGACUCCUACGGGAGGCAGCAGUGGGGAAUAUUGGGCAAUGGGCGAAAGCCUGAUGCAGCCAUGCCGCGUGUGUGAAGAAGGUCUUCGGAUUGUAAAGCACUUUAAGUUGGGAGGAAGGGCAGUGAGUUAAUACCUGGCUGUUUUGACGGUACCAACAGAAUAAGCACCGGCUAACUUCGUG